rnacentral:pre_miRNA from 1 species
CCAGUCACGUCCCCUUAUCACUUUUCCAGCCCAGCUUUGUGACUGUAAGUGUUGGACGGAGAACUGAUAAGGGUAGGUGACUGA